rnacentral:misc_RNA from 1 species
CAGCAGCCGCGGUAAUACGUAUGGUCCUUGAGCUCGCUGAUCACGACAUCCUGAAAUUCGCCCCCCAGUUGCUCUGCCACGCUGACCAGUAGAUCGUGCGUGAGGGGCCGCGGCGAUGGAUAGCCCUUCACGCGGCGGUCGAUGCUGUGAGCCUCGAACAACCCGAUCAGAAUGGGAAACGUCCGGUUCCCUUCCACUUCCCGCAAAUAAAUGAUUUGUUGGUCGUUGAUCUCGCUAAUGAUGAUCCGAGACAACUCCAUUUGGACGGGCAUAGUCCGAAACCCUGGUGCUAAGUGCGACGCGCUGUUCGACGCAUAGAUCGAUUAUACGUCUUCCACCUGCAUCGCUGCUAGUAGUUCAAUCCCACCACCAUACGUCCGGAGCGCGGGACUCCGGCGCGCUGGCGGCGCGGCGGCUAACGAGAGUGCCGCUUUUAUCCUUAUCAAUUGCCUCCGGCCGUACGAGUUGGCUGGCAUCGAACUGGACGCCACCGCUGACUGCUGCCACAAACCGGGAGCGAUUGAGCAUGCGAUGAUUGACGACCGACUGCACUCGCCGAGGAGCGGCGCCAGUGGCUACUUCGUAUUACCGCGGCUGCUGGA